rnacentral:rRNA from 1 species
UACGUAGGUGGCAAGCGUUGUCCGGAUUUAUUGGGUUUAAAGGGUGCGUAGGCGGCCCCGUAAGUCAGUGCUGAAAUAUCCCGGCUUAACCGGGAGGGUGGCAUUGAUACUGCGAGGCUUGAGUGAAGUUGAGGUAGGCGGAAUUGACGGUGUAGCGGUGAAAUGCUUAGAUAUCGUCAAGAACACCGAUAGUGUAGACAGCUUACUAAGCUUUAACUGACGCUGAGGCACGAAAGUGUGGGGAUCAAACAGG